UUACCUUUUAUAAGAAACACAGAAUUCCGUUCUCGAGAUAAGUUCGUAAGAAAGUGUCAUGUCGCGCGAUCUAGCGACAGACGUUCGAAACACAAGUCAAUUCCGAUCGCAACGAAGGAACGUGCGAUUUGCGAACUCGUCGUGCCUGCCGGCGUAUUAGCUCACGUGGUGGCGUUAAUACGUGUAGCUUUGAGCUUGUGCAAGAGCAGGAGCCAUACUAAAUUGACGAGUUGCCGUUCAUUCCUGCGCCUCGGUACAACUACGAUGGUUGACUUGAUGAAAUCAUGCCGCGAGAAUUAAACGGGGAUACCCUGGGUGUGUGUCGGGAGGAGCAGGAGACGGCGCUGAGGUUCCAAUUGGCAGGAGCAAGACAACGGUAGGAGUUGACUGCAGUGUAUACACAGUUAAUUAAGCUGGAGUACCAUGCCAGAGGUGCAAGAAGGAGGAUUACUGGAUGUGAGGAAGAUUGUGAUACGAGGAAAGAGAGAGAGAGAGGACGGAGCGAACGAUUACGUGAGUGUAAGAGAGACGAAGAGUGGUGGAAUGGGAAUCUAGUAAGGAAUUGAGAGAGAAAGAGAGAGAUAGGAGAAAGUGAGGUUGUGCAAGUGGAAUAACCUAUAGUGCACCUGGUGCAACGAGUGCGAUAGGGACGAGCGAUUCUCUGCUGUCGGCUGCAAAGUAAACUGGAUGUGGGAAAGAUUCUUCAGCCGGAGUGUACGCACGUAUUGUGCGACCAAUGGGAUUCACUGAGGAUUCAAAAUCGGACUGAAAUACUUCUCUUCAAUUGGCACGGGUCUACUGGAGUAUGAACCUCUUCGUGAAAGCGACAGGUUAGGCUUGUACGAAACAAAUGGAUUAGGCGACGGAAAUCUCGCUACGUCCUCUCGAAUCUACGCGGGACCACACGCUGUGAGUUUUCCCCAAACUUGUCAAGAAUUACCUGAAAUUUCAAUGGGGGUAACAAUGUCGAAUCACCACCCGUGGCUGCUCUCUCUAUACACCAGAGAUCACGGGACACCGUAAACAAGGAUUAAACCGGAGCCUGGAAAAAAAUUGGGCCGGAUUUUCAUUCAGUGAAUGCCGACGAACCACAGAAAUUAGACUUAUCUACUGAGAUCAUUCAAAUAGAAGAGGUGCUCCCAGCUGCCGGAAAAUAAGGCACGACCAUCUUGUUCGCUGGAUCGUCUGCUGAAUGGCUUUUUUGUACUCUUGUCAGAUUUGCAAACAGUUUUGAAUUUCGAGCGUGCUGCUCUUUUCCACGUUGACCCUGGACGGACGUUAUUCCAUUGUCAAGGAGCCAUUGGCUACUGUGUUACAUCAGUGCAGCAUCCAUAGUGAAUGACUAUAGCCUCCUGUAAUUCGAUGGGUCAUCCUGAAUGAAUGGAUCAGGCAAUAGUGCAUCUGAGUGCUUUAAAAAAAAUUAUAAUCAUCGGUCAGACAAGGAUAUGAAGGAUAAUUUUCUAUCCCGACUCGGACCGUCGCAUAAAUUAUCUUUAGCUUCGAGAAAAUGGAGCAUCAGGUGCAAUUGUCGUGGAUAACAAUGAACGGAGACUGGGCGCAGCGGAUAAAAAUUCAUCCAUAAAAUUCAAAACGUAUAAUUUGCCUCGUUAGCGAGGAUCGAUUUUGACUGGCUACUGUGUCGUUACCGGCGGAUAUCUUUUGUGGUUAAGGUUUAUGGGCGUGCACUUCCCCCUGGGCUAAAAUGCCAAAUGGUUACGACGAUACAUCCAGAGAAAAUAGGGCUCUUUGUCAUAGUCGUUCUCUUUUGAAAUAGAGAAUCGAAAUGAAAGAAGAAAUGGACUAGGAGGCAUUGACAAAAAGAAGGAGCGUGUUUCCUUGCAACCUAAAAAUGUGUAAUAAUACUCAACAAUCAGUCUUACACAAAUCACGCAGAAUUUGAUCGGUAAACCAAAUACAAAGUUCCCGAACGUCAACAACUGUCUGUCAAUUAUAAGGGAUGCCAGAAUCCGCCGCAAGAAUCAAGCGGUACCCGAUGGCAAUGUGGCAUGAUGAUCUCACCC